rnacentral:rRNA from 1 species
UACGUAGGGUGCAAGCGUUAAUCGGAAUUACUGGGCGUAAAGCGUGCGCAGGCGGUUAUGUAAGACAGGUGUGAAAGCCCCGGGCUUAACCUGGGAAUGGCCAUGGAAACUGGCGAACUGGAGUGUGGCAGAGGGGGGUGGAAUUCCGCGUGUAGCAGUGAAAUGCGUAGAGAUCCGGAAGAACACCGGUGGCGAAGGCGGUCUGCUGGGGUCGAACUGACGCUGAGGCGCGACAGCGUGGGGAGCAAACAGG